UCAGGUGCGUAUCCUCCUCUGCCUGCCGCUGCUAACGCUCCGGAGUGGACCCAUCAUCUGAAAUGCGUCGUCUGGACCGUGAAGAGACGUAGACUACACACAACAAAUGAACAAAACAAUACUGGAUGAACUGCAAUAAGAACAAUCUGUUCUGUAGAAACAAUGAUUGACUAUCAGUCGUUGCUUUCAAGCUCUCUCGCUUUUGCGGUUGGGAAGUUGUGAAAAACCGCUAAAGGACCAGGAACUUUAGAAGACUUCAGAGUUGCUAUAUAUGCACUCGACCGAUUAAGCCGGGAGCCCGGUCGAGCUUGAAAGUCUAUGCAAUAGGCUACAUUUUCUUUUGACUUCUUUUGACUCAGGGAUUUGGCGUUUUGAAAGCUUGAUGUCUACACAUUUUUCCUAGGUUAUGUUUUGUCGUGGUGGGCACAUUCACGGGCUAAAGGAAAUUGUAUUUCUUUAACAUUACCCUGUUUUUGUUUUUGAAAAUGGAGAGCAAAUGAGAGGGGCAUUUCCCGGGAUUAAUUGACAGCACAACGACAGAAUGCGGGAGAGAGACCUACGGAGCGUGUGCAGAAGGGUGCUGCUGCUGGCCGUUUGUCUCGUGUCUCUCUGGGGACAGCUGACCCUCGCUUCGUCACACAGAAGUCACAUAGUGCAUGUCAAAGCAGGGACCUGUGAAGUGACCGCCGCCCACCGCUGCUGCAACAAGAACAAGAUCGAAGAGAGAUCCCAGACGGUGAAAUGUUCCUGCUUCCCCGGACAGGUUGCCGGGACAACAAGAGCGGCCCCAUCUUGUGUGGACGCAUCCAUAGUUGCCCAGAAGUGGUGGUGUCAGAUGCAUCCAUGUAUGGAUGGGGAGGAGUGUAAAGUUUUGCCUGAUCUGAAAGGCUGGAGCUGCAGUACGGGAAACAAAGUGAAGACGACGAAGGUGGGUGCAUAAUGUCACGCGAUAGUGCUGUCUGUCCUGGAUCUGAAGACUUGGUGUCGUCAGUCGUUUCUUCCUUGACAGAAACCACUGGGUCUUCUUGGAUGUGAGAACUAUGUAUUGAAUGAUUUUGGGAAGGAACCAGGGACCAGUAAGGGAACAUGGAAAACUCCUGAAAUUCUACUGAACGGAUGCAGAGUAAAGACUUGACCUGGAAAUAACAUAGAACCACCUAUCCAGACUACUGGACUACCGAUUACAUCCAAUUCCUAGCCGUUAUUGUAUCACCCACCAAAUUCCUGUUUGUGUUUUUUCCUUCAACGGACUACUACAGUAGGAGAUCCAACCUGCAAGGUAUUUAUUCAUUAAAAAGACAAACUGUGGAUUACGCAAGCAAGAUAAACCUUAAUUCGAAACAUGUGACGUGACAUUUUCAAAUCUUUUUCCUCUUUUUUGUCACUGAGAGCUCAGUGACUCCAAAACAAUGUGUCUGUGUUCAAGAUCGAUUUUAGAUCAUAAGCAUUUCCAUUCAUUUUUAGCCUUAUGAAGCAGAUGUCUCUUCUUUUUAAGGUUUUUGAUUUGGAAAAAAAAUAUUAAGUGUUUUUGAGAAUUUGAGACAUCAAAGGAGAUGGCACAGUAGAAAAACAGUUCUAACUACUACGUUUCAGUGUUUUGAAUGAAAAGACACCAUCCCACUGGGCACAGACAUCAAUUCAACGUCUAUUCCAUGUCGGUUCAACGUCAUUUCAUUGAUUGGACGUGUAAACAAUGUUGAUUUAACCAGUGUGUUCCCAGUAGGAUGGUUUCACCAAACCAAUUAAAAUGACAUAAGCUGAGCUCCAACUGUUUUAAUAACUGUUUUACUAUCUGUUUUUAAAAGCCUGGUGACCAACAUUGAGUAAAAGUGUCAGUAUUAUCUCAAUAAACCUAUUUCAAAAGGAUA